rnacentral:lncRNA from 1 species
UUUUUUUUUACAUAUCUGAAAGUUUAAAAAUACAAGAUUAAAACAGAGAAAUGAGAUAUUAAAAUAUUGGGAUCAGGAGAUUAGGGGAAUGAGAUAUUAGAAAUUAAUAUUAUAAUUUAAUUUAUCAAUAUAAAAUAUAAUAUAUUAAAAAAUUUUGAUAUCCAUAUUUAUUUCAUUUUUUUAAUAUUCGAAUAAUUUUUUACUAUCUAAAACUAUAAAUGAUCAGGAUCAGAUCUGGAUAUUUUUUUAUUCG